UACGGGGGGGGCAAGCGUUGUUCGGAAUUACUGGGCGUAAAGGGCUCGUAGGUGGCCAACUAAGUCGGACGUGAAAUCCCUCAGCUUAACUGGGGAACUGCGUCCGAUACUGGAUGGCUUGAGUUUGGGAGAGGGAUGCGGAAUUCCAGGUGUAGCGGUGAAAUGCGUAGAUAUCUGGAGGAACACCGGUGGCGAAGGCGGCAUCCUGGACCAACACUGACACUGAUGAGCGAAAGCCAGGGGAGCAAACGGG
rnacentral:rRNA from 1 species